CCCUCUGCUCUCAAAAUCGCUCGCAUCUAUCUCUCAAACCUCUCUCUCAUCACGACCUCACCGAAUCCCUCUCAAACAAACAAGAAAAACAAAGACUGUUACAAAACAGGAAGCUCACCCUCGGACCUUUGAUGAAGAUGACAGCUCAGGGUUUCCAAUGGGGUCUUUGCAAUCGGUACAGCAAUAGGUUGUGUUGUAGCACCUCUCACAUUCUUUCUUUUCUACCAUUCGCUUGAUCUUGGAAACCCUAAUGGUGAAUACAAAGCACCGAAUGCUAUCAUCUAUAGAAACAUGGCAAUUCUUGGCGUUGAAGGCUUUUCAGCACUACCAAACCAUUGCUUGAAAUUCUGCUAUGCUUUUUUUGCAUUUGCUGUGUUGAUGAACUUUGUGUGUGGCUGGAACUGAACCACCUUUGUUCUGUCUGAAGUCAUUUUCAACAAUGCUGAAAGCUUGUAGUAAGAUCCUUCAGAUUUGAAAACCUUAACAUCAAUACUUUCAAUGUGUUUGUUGGUUUUGCAGGCUGCUGGUGCUUGGCGGCAGGACCAUGGCUUUGUAGGAAUUUGUUGACAAGAUAUUGUAGCAGCAGUCAAGAACUCAUUCGGAUAUGUUUGGUUUUGAUGUGCAGUCACCAUUGCCUCUUACUUUUAAAUCCAAGACUCCGAUAUAGCUAAAACAGUUGCACCAUUGCAGCUUGACAUGAUGAUGUACCACUCAGAUUUUGGUCUGUAGCAUUGGACCCUGAAUCCAGGAUAUCUCCUGUUUUUGCCUUUCCUGAAGUUACGGUCUUAACAUUACCGAUAGACUGAUUCCGCUUUAUAACAGGAACUUUUUUUUUUCUCUUUAAAAGAGACCUCGUGCCCAGUAUCAACCAGAGAAUCCCUCUCUUCAUCCAACUGUUUUUCUCUGGAUGAACCAAACGUCCCACGAAUCCUGGUUCACCUUGGGGCGCUCCACCACCAUCAAUCAGCCUAAUCUGCUGCUCCUGUGUAGGUUGUUGAUUGUCAAUAGAAGCUUCUUUUGGAGAAUUGCAAUUUGUGGAAUUUGAACUAGCUUCAUGUUUGUCUUGACGCGCUCCACCACUAUCAAUCAACCCAAUAUGCUGCUCUUGUGUAGGCAUGGCAUGAACAUAAACAUGGUUGGCCAAGGAUAACUUGCAAAUGAAGCACUCAUGAUGGAAGCAAGCAAACAUGAACAAUGGAGUGAUGGAUUAAGGGUGUUGUUAUGUUAACACAAGUUGGCGGCUAACCUCAACUUUUACUUCACCAUUCCGCUUCUGUUUCGAUAGGAACAACUGUUGGUUUUGACGGCGUGCAUCAUCUAUAUGUGCUACAUGAGAUGCUUUGGACUCGUUAUCUUCUUGAGCAUUACUGGAUGAGACAUCCACCUCCACGGAUGAUGACAAAUUUUCAGGUAUAGUAGCCGGGAGUGGUUGUGGGUUGUCAGAAUAAUCUCCGUCCACAGGCGGAACUGAAGCAUUUUGAUUGCUUGAGUUCUGCUCCGCUACAGUUUCAAGCUAUUGUCUUGAGUUACCUGCAUAAUGCCUUCUUGUACCAGAAGCUGGGAAAGAAAGCUGCUUCUUAGCAGGAGUACUUGGCACUUUGCUUUUAGUCUUUGCAACCUUUGCAGGUGCUGGAAGUACGCUCCUUGAAGCUAGAGUUUGAUGACUUGGUUUUUGGCUUGUAGGAGAGUUUUUACUAUCUUGAUUUUGAUCUCUUAGAGCAUACAAUUUGGAGAUUUCUCCAACUGACAUAGUGUGAUUUGCAGCACCUUUUGCUGAUUUAUGAUUCUCUUCAUCCUUUGUGUGAACUAUCGGAAGGAAAAUCCUUACCGACAGUAACAUUACCACCAUCCGAUGGACUAAUUCUAUCUACAUUUACAGUAGAUGAAGGGGCGGAAUUCACAUUAGUAAUUCCAGAUGAUACAGUUGUAGGCCCAUUGGCAAUAGCUGGAACAGUGCUUGUUCCAGAACUUUUUUUCCUAGCCUUUGUCCCUUGCGAACCUGGCAAAGGAGGCACACCCUUUGAAGUUUCUUGGUUAUGACUUGGUGUGGAUGGUUGGACAAGGUAUGCACCAAGUGAUUUGCACAAGUUUGAAGGAAUUUUGGAAUGACAAAAGGCAAAAGUCAAUUGUUGACCGAAGUCAACAAAUGGACAAAAUGUGUUUUCUUUAUGAUUUCUUUGUAAAUGUCAAAUUUUGUAUUUUAUUGUAUGGAAUCAAAUGUAAUGGUUUACAAUGACAUGAAAUAAAUUGAAAUGGAUUAACAAAA